rnacentral:misc_RNA from 1 species
UACGGAGGGUGCAAGCGUUAAUCGGAAUUACUGGGCGUAAAGCGCGCGUAGGGGGCUUGAUAAGCCGGUUGUGAAAGCCCCGGGCUCAACCUGGGAACGGCAUCCGGAACUGUCAAGCUAGAGUGCAGGAGAGGAAGGUAGAAUUCCCGGUGUAGCGUUGAAAUGCGUAGUGAUCGGGAGGAAUACCAGCGGCGAAGGCGGCCUUCUGGACUGACCCUGACACUGUGGUGCGAAAUCGUGGGUAGCAAACAGG